rnacentral:lncRNA from 1 species
CGGGUGCUUUCAAAUAGCAUGAAGUAGUCUUCAAGCAAGAUUUCUAGGUCUUGUACAUCCUCAUAAUUGUUGCGGCAGAGAUGAGGUGGAGCAGGAACAAUGUCAUUUGAUGCAUAUCUCCAUUGUUGAGUCUGUAUCCAGUUCCGAGUUAGGUGUAGUUGGGCCAUAUCUCCAUUGUCGUCUAAAAGAUGUUCGAUUUCAUCCCUCACCUAUUACCGCAAGGCGAGAUAGAUUUAGAGAAAGGAUCCAUCGUUAACAAACCUUAAACAAGAUAAAUGACAUGCAAGAUGUUUGACAAGGUGAAGCUAGGUUCAAUUGCCACAUAAUAUUUGCCUAACACUAGAACCUCUCAUUCUCAUGAUGGAUAAAAUGCAAAAACUAUUUAUGUAUAUAUAUAUAUAUAUAUAUAUAUAUUAUUGAUAUGAAAAAACAUUAAUUCACCACAUGCAUAAGCUGCAUCAUCUCGAUCGAAGGGUAAAUAUAAUUAUAUGACGAUCUGGCUACAAAAAUAACAAGAGAGAAAUUAUUUGAGUUACCUUAUGCACCCGUGCAAGCAAACGAGUGAGAUUGCUUUUGAAAGUCCGCAUAUACUCAAGAUUCUUGGUGCUAACACUUUUGGUUACUUCAUCUAAAGCAGGGUAAACAUCCCUCUCAACUUGAGAGACACUAGAUUCUAAAUAUCCGUAUGCAACCUUUAAUGCUAUUUCCAACACCUGGAACUCAAAAGGCAGUAGUAGUUCAUCUUCAGAAGCUUCUGGAUGUUGUCGAUUCUUAGAAGAUAAAUGCCGCGUUAGCUGAUCCACAAAUACCAGAACCUCUUGUUGAAGAGGAUCGAGUAACAUUACUUCUUCUGCUGAGACUAAUGCUCUUAUAAAUUCCAGACUAAGGAUCAUACAUUUUUCCCUAGCUACAAAAAAGGAAAAUCAGCAACCAAAAAUCAGUGAGAGGUGGAAUUCAUGUCAUUGACUUCACUUUUGUAACAUCAAAACCAACACAUGCAGACCAAGAUUGCACAACUAAACACACAUCGCCCAACACCCACCCAAAAAGCACUAAGAGUUGAUAGAAGAUUUUGCCAAAAGUUAUAACAAUAAUGCCGAAAAGUUAUACCUAAAAAGCACUAAGAGUUGAUAGAAGAUUUUGCCAAAAGUUAUACCAAUAAUGCCGAAAGGAUGAUAGAAGAUUGGCCCCAGAAGCCCUAAAUCCCUGGCGGGAAUGGAGAAGCGUUUGAUGAUGACGCUCUUAUCGCACUCGAUAGCUUCUGAUUGUCCUAGGCUAUCUAUCCGCAUCCAAAGAUGCUUGCUGACCCACUUCUUCUUCCCACAUGCCUUGCUUGUAGUGCUCACCAGCUCCAUCGCCGGACGAGGAGGAGCCGUUGUAAUGCUCGCCAGCUCCAUCGCCGGACGAGGAGGAGCCGAGACCAUCUUCUUCCGUCGGAAAGGCCUGCCCAUAUCGGAAAGGUCUGCCCAUAUAUCUUCUGCUUUAUAGGUCCUAUGAGCAUAUUAAUUCCAGUUAGUUACGAAUUCUAUUUAUGAUAAUGUAUCCAGAUACUUUUGCGAUCUCCAAAUUUAUCUGAAUCAAUUAUAAACAAUUCGAACGCUCAUGGUAUGGAUGAAGUAACUUUCUGCAUAAAAAAUUAUGUAAACCGUGAGAUGGUCAAAUAUCCAUAUCUAUCUAUCUAAAGACUAGUUUGUGCACAAGCUGUUUUCCCGCCAAAGCACACUUGCUUUUGUCCAAUGAAUAUGUUGGAUCAGUGGCGGAGCCAGGAAUUUUUUUGGGGGCCCAAUUUUUUUUUGGGGGGCAUUCAAUACAUUUUAGACAUUUUUUACUAAAAUACAAAUAUAAUAAUAAUAAUAACAACAUUUUCAUAUAUAAUAUAGUUCAACAUUUACUAAAAAUUUUUUUGGGGGCAUUCAAUACAUUUUAGACAUUUUUUUACUAAAAUACAAAUAUAAUAAUAAUAAUAACAACAUUUUCAUAGAUAAUAUAGUUCAAAACAUUUACUAAAUUUUUUGGGGGCAUUCAAUACAUUUUAGACAUUUUUUUACUAAAAUCAAAUAUAAUAAUAAUAAUAAUAACAACAUUUUCAGACAUAAUAUAAAAANUAAUAAUAAUAAUAAUAAUAAUAAUAAUAAUAACAACAUUUUCAUAGAUAAUAUAGUUCAAAACAUUUACUAAAAUUUUUUUGGGGGCGAUUCAAUACAUUUAGGCAUUUUUUACUAAAAUACAAAUAUAAUAAUAAUAAUAAUAAUAAUAACAUUUUCAUAAAGAUAAAUAGUAGUUCAACACUUUACUAAAUUUUUUUUUGGGGGCAUUCAAUACAUUUUAGACAUUUUUUUACUAAAAAUACAAAUAUAAUAACAAUAAUAACAACAUUUUUAGACAUAUUAUAAAAAAAAAAAUCAAAAUUUGGGGGGCUCUAGCCCCCCCUGGCUACGCCCAGUUGCAGGGGCGGAGCCAGGGGGGGGGGCAGUGGGGUCACUGGACCCCCCUGGAAUUUCCAAAAAUCCCAGGGGUAUUUUAGUAAUUUUACAAAUAUAUUUAAAAAAAAUAAAAAAUAAUUAAUUUGAGAGAGAGAAGAGAGUCCAAGGAGGCAGUGGUCGGUGGUUAUUUUGGAAGAGAGAGAGAGUUGCUAAAUGGGCUGCUGAGUGGGCUUAUUCUUUUAAUUAGAAUGGAAUUGUUUCCUUCUUUUAAUAUGCGAAUUCAGAAUGAUAUAGUUUCAUAUUUGAGAUGAGAAUUGGGAUGAGAGUAUAUAUAAUAAAUAUAUAUUAAUUAUAAUUUAAUCGGUUAAUUAAUCGGUUAUUCACAUAAAUUUAUUCCAGUGUCCUUCCAAAAAAUAAAACAAUAAAUUAUCGUACUAGUUUAGUGAUGCUAGACGAUUAAUGUGGUGGUUAUCUCAUCUGCUAUAAUAAUAAUUCAAAUGCAUUUACAGACAAUAUUUAUGGUAUGAUGUAUUAUGUAUAUUGUGACAGAACAAAGGUAAUGUUGCUAAAUGGUAAGGUAUGUCUUUUCUAAAGAAAAUAUAUGCUAUAAUUUGAGACUUUUCUAGUUUUCUGCCCCGUUUCUGUAGAGCUUGCAAAUGAUGAUUUUGGGUAUUGACUUUACAAUAUAACUUGUGCUUGGUUAUUAAUAUGCUUGCUAAUUGUUAUAUUGGACUUUUUUUAAAAAAAUAAUUAUGUUUAUUUUUUUAACUUGCUAUAUAAUUUAAAUAACAUUAUAAUUAUAUUAAUUAUUAUUAUUUAUUUUUUAAUUUUUUUAUUUAAUUAUUAUUUUUUUGAAAAAAAAAUUUUUGGACCCCCCUGAGUCGAAAGUCUGGCUCCGCCCCUGCCCAGUUGGAUCAUCUUUAUCUGCUGACUAAUCUGAUUCCAUGCACGAGCCCAAAUUUGAAUUUUAAUCUACUAAGCCCUAUUUACCAUCUAUAAGAUUAUGGUUAUCUGCUAAUUUUUAAUCUUUCCAUUGUACAAUUUUAGAUUUGUAAUUCUUAUGUCCUAUUAUUACCUGUUGCAGACGCAGGCGCCAAGGACGGAGAAGGGGGGGCGAAUCGGGGCCACAGGGGCUGAGCGAAGGCGGCGACACGUGAUGAGGGAGAUUGGGAGACGAAGCCGACGACGAAGGCAACACAGAGAGGCCGGAGACGUGAGAGAGAGAGAGAGAGAGAGCGGCGUUAUAGCAGAUGCGAGAGUGAGAAGGGAGAAACCACGGUGCAAAGGAGGUUUUACAUUUUGGGCUCUUUGUUUAUUAGUGGCCCAAAUUGUUAUAAUUAAUUUGUAUGAGUUGGGCUGUUAUAGUUUUUAUUGUUCUUUUGAAUUUAUAUGAAUAAAUAUUUGAUUAUUAUUUUUAUAUAAUUGUUUACGAAUAAUUUAAUUUUAUAAUUUUAACGAUGUAAUAUUGUAAUUGAGUGAAAUUUAUUUGUAUCAUUGAAUUUGUAAUUUAAAUAUUAGAGAAUUGAGAUGAAUAUCACACAAUUAAUCAAAAAUAUGAUAUGUCAAUUAAUAUUCUAAAUUAAAUUUUUGAUGUGAACAUAUAUUUUUUUAUCUUUUCAUUACAAAUGAAUAUACUAUCAUACUACUUAACAACUUAUACAUUUUCAAUCUAUAAACACAACUAUACAACGAUCUAAUAAUAAUAUGUGUUUUGAGAAAGUAGUUUUUUUUUUUUUUUGAGAAGGUUUUGAGAAUGUAGCAAUGUAAAUCAAAAAUCAUUUAGUUAAUCAAUAUGUGAAUUACAUUAUUUUUGUACAAGAUAUCUAAUGAUUCAUCUUCACUUAUUUAUAAUAAUAUUAGUAAAAUAAAUAAUUACAAAGAUAUAAACCAUAGAAAUGAAAAAUAAAAUGAUUUGAUUCAAAAAAGGGUGCAUGAAUAGUAUUUUUUAUAAUUUUACGAUUUAAUUAUUUAUUAGUUAAAAAGGAUUGGAUUCCAACUUUAGAAAUAAACAAAUAAUUCAUGAGUUAACUAAACAAUUUACUGAAAAAAAAUAAUUCAUGGAUCCAAAUAUUUGGAGAAACAUGAGAGAUGAGUAUAGAAAAUUUAAGGUGUUUAAUAAUGUGGUAGGUGUCGCUCCACAAAAAUAUGAUUUUCUUCUAAAAAUGAAGAGUUUUGUAUUUAUUGUGUAUAACUAUAUAUUAGAGCAUAAUUCAUGUCAAUCCUCCAUCACAAUGCGAACCGUGGCUUCGGGCGUCGCCUUGAUUUGACCCGUCAUUUCCUUGCCCCGCUCUGUCUAGUUCAUUUAUAUAACAUAAAUCACAUUUAAACUAACAAAAAAUCAUACUUUCAUCAACAAUUUAACACAUCAAUUUUAUACCUCAUUAACACUCCAAAUUUACCAAAAAAAUCCAAUCGUUUAACACAUCAAAAUUGAUGGGUCUUUUAUUCGCUCAAUUAUCAAUUAUUAGAUCGCAUUGUAAUUUUCGUGGAUAAAGAGAGUAUUUUAUUAUUAUUAUUAUUAUUAUUAUUAUAUAUAUAUAAUAUUUUUUUACAUCAUUAUAUUUUUUUUUACAUAUAUUUAUAUAUUGAUUAGUUUAUAUAAUGAUUAUUCGUGUAUACAAGCAAAGAAUUUGGAUGCAAGAAUUCGAUUAACCAAUACAUGUACACUAAAAAAAACUGAACAUCAUACAAUGUGGAGUAUCUAGAAAUAUUUUGUUUUUAGAGACAUGACUAUGUGCCUCAGAAACGAUUUUUAGGGACUUUUCUAACUGGUGUCAAUAUAUGAAUCUAGCCUAUUUCAUAUUGUAAAAUUAAAAUCUAGCCUAUGAAAUAAAAACAUAAAAAUAUGGCCAGUUUUUGUGUAAAAGUACAAAAUUACCCCCCACUUAAAAAUUUAAAAAAAUGGCCACUCAUUUUCUCUCUUUCUCUCAUCUCUCUCUUCCUCUCCUUCUCGUCUACCCACCACCACCACCGCUGCACCAGUUGCCCCCCACCACCACCGCUGCACUGUUGUUCUCGUCCUCGCCGCCGCUGCACAAUCGCCGGCCACCGCCUCCGCCUCCAAUAAAAAGGUACUCGAUUUUCCCCCAAUUUCGGUGCCCUAAUUCCUCGAUCAAUUUCGAAGCACUGAAGCAGAUGGCGGCGGCAAUCGAAGGCGAGGACAAGGUGCUGGCCGUCGCUCCUCCUCCUCCGCCGGCUUUCCCUUUCCAAAGCGUCGCCGCCGCCGCCGCUUCCGCCUUCACUCCCGUCGCCAUGGAUAUCGAAGCCGCAGCCGCAGCGCCGCAGAAGCCUACGGUCCUAUUCGCACAGAAGCCGAACUUCCGGCCUCUGAAGGCGCACGAAAUCUCCGACGGACAGAUCCAGUUCUGCAAAAUCUCGGUGCCGCCGCACCGCUACACCCCGAUCUACGAGGAGGUUGAAUUUUGGGGAAUUGUUGGGGAAUUGUUGGGGAAUUGUUGUAUUUUGAAUAAUUUUGGGGAAUUGUUGUAUUUUGAUUUUGGGGAAUUGUUGUAUUUUGAAUAAUUUUGAUUGUAGAUUGAAUUGAUUCGGAUAAUAUUUUGUUAUAUUUUGAUUGUUCAUUUAGAGGAAUUGAUGUAUUUUGAUGGUAGAUUGAGUUGUUGUAUUUUGGUGUUGUACAACAAUUUUUUUAAUGUUCUUAAAUUCACAACUAAAUUUAUGAAUUCACAAUUUAAUGUUCUUGAAUUCACGACCACAUUUAUGAAUUCACAACUAGAUUUAAGAAUACAUUUAUGAAUUCACAACUAGCUCGAUGAAUUCACAACUUAAUAUUCUUAAAUUUACAAACAAAUCUAUAAAUUCACAAUCAAAAUAAAUUACAGUUUUAAUUGUGAAUUCAAACUUUAAAAACUCAAAUUCACAACUACUUGAAUUCACAACCAAAAUAAAUUCUAGUUGUGAAUUCACAAUCAUAACAAUUCAGUUGUGAAUUCACAAUCAUAACAAUUCUAGUUAGUGUUUCAGUUCAGUUCAGUUGUGAAUUCACAAUCAUAACAAUUCACAACUAGGGUUUAGGGUUUAGAUUGGGUUUAGGGUUUAGGGUUUAGGGUUCAGUUCAGUUUCAGUUUCAGUUCAGUUCAGUUCAGUUGUGAAUUCACAACUAGGGUUUAGGUUUCGGGUUUAGUGUUUCAGUUCAGUUCAGUUGUGAAUUCACAAUCGUAACAAUUCACAACUAGGGUUUAGGUUUAGGGUUUAGAUUGGGUUUAGAGUUUAGGGUUUAGUUUUUAGGGUUUAGGGUUCAGUUCGGGUUUAAGGUUCAGUUCAGUUCAGUUGUGAAUUCACAACUAGGGUUUAGGGUUUCAGUUCAGUUGUGAAUUUAAUGUUUCAGUUCAAUUCAGUUAAGUUUCAGUUAAGUUUCAGUUCAGUUCAGUUGUGAAUUUAGUGUUUCAGUUCAGUUGUGAAUUCACAAUCGUAACAAUUCACAACUAGGGUUUAGGUUUAGGGUUUCAGUUUAGUUGUGAAUUUAAUGUUUCAGUUCAGUUUAGUUUCAAUUCAGUUCAGUUCAGUUGUGAAUUCACAACCAAAAUAAAUUCUAGUUGUGAAUUAAAUUCAGGUUGUGAAUUCGACUGAUUGUGAAUUCACAACCAACAUAAAUCUGGUUGUGAAUUAAAUUUUGGUGUGAAUUCGUUUGUUGUGAAUUCACAACCAAAAAUUCUAGUUGUGAAUUAAAUUUUAGUUGUGAAUUCGACUGGUUGUGAAUUAAAUUUUGGCUGUGAAUUCGACUAGUUGUGAAUNCAAAAGAGAAAGAUUUUGGACACCAGGUGUCUUAGACACCUUCAUAAAAAUCAGUUUUUCUUGAUAUUUAAUUUAACAAAUUUUUUGCUAUUUAGUGAUUUGUCUAAAAUAUUAUUUUCAAAAAUAUAUUCAAUCGAUUUUAUUAUUAUUUUUAUUUUUAUAUUUUUUAAUAUAUUUUUUCCAAGUUCACUAAUUUUUUAUAUAAAAUAUAUAAAAAUUGAAAAUAAUAACAAAAUCGAUUGAAUAUAUUUUUGGAAAUGAUAUUUUAGACAAAUCACUAAAUAACAAAAAAUUAGUCAAAUUAAACAUCAAACAAAAACCGAUUUUUUAUCUGGUGUCCAAAAAUCACUCUCCAACUAAAAAUACGUACAUAAAAAGUAUGCUAUAAAUGAGCUAGCUUUUUAGCUCAAUUUCGCAAAGAUUCAAUUCUGAAAAUAAAAUGCUUUAUAAACAAUUUAAUAACAUGUCAUGUCAUUUCUAGAGGCUCUAACGCUGAAUUUUACCAUUCUUCAUUUCUCAAUUCUUCUCUGUUGACCAAAACAGCAAUGAAAAUUCCAAUACCAAGGGAAAUCAAAAAUAUCCACGAAGACGAAAAUUCAAACUCUUCCACUCAUAUAAAUAACGAUGGCUCUAUUAUUUUAUUGCAGUAAUCUUUUCAUAAUUUCUGUACAAACUAAAGAAGCAAUGAAUCUACUCUACAUAAUACUGGCAAUUCCUUGUGGUGUUGUAGCAUCAAUAUACACAUGGAGGUUCUUGAAGUGGGCGUGGCUUACGCCGAAGAAGCUCGAAAAAUCCCUCCGGCAGCAGGGUUUCGAUGGCAAUCCUUACAAAUUCCUGCUUGGAGACUUGAAUGAAAUCAUGAAGAUGGAGAAAGAAUCUCUCUCCAAUCCCAUCUCUUUCUCCGAUGAUUUCCUACCUCGAAUCAUGCCCUUCGUGCACAAAACUCUUACUAACUACGGUACAUAUAUCAUCUUUUUACGAAGGGUUAAUUGGUUGUAAAUCCACAGACUAUUAGUGAAUUCUGAUUUUUCUCAUAGAAUAUGGAAAAACUAGAUGUUUUUUGAAUUUACAGCGAAUUAACCCUUUUAUGAAUAACUAUAUAAGCUAAUCUUGAUUUGUAAUGGCUCAAAGUUGAUAAGGUGGUUGCUGUUACAAUUUCAGGCAAGAACUCUUUUGUCUGGUUUGGAACCGAUCCUGCUGUAUUUAUCUGGGAUCUUGACAUGAUCAGAGAGAUUCUGUCGAAACCUCUCAUCUUCCAGAAGCCGAGUAAUCCAACAGGCGAAGUCUUGGCGAAAGGAUUAGUGAGCUACGAAGGCGAUAAAUGGGCUAAGCAUAGGAGGUUGAUCAAUCCUGCAUUUCAUCUUGAAAAAAUAAAGGUAAUCUUCUUCUAAAUACAACUUGCUUCCACAUUCCAUUUGUUUAUCAACUGUUUCUUGAAGUAAAACUGCUGAUGCAGAAAAUGGCUCCAUCAUUCUACAUGAGUUGUUGUGACAUGUUGAGUGAAUGGGAAAAGAUGGUAGAAAGUGAAGGAGCAUCUGAGUUAGAUGUGUGGCCUUAUCUCCAAACCUUAACGAGUGAUGCUAUUUCGCGCACUGCAUUUGGCAGUAGCUACAAACAAGGAAGGAAGAUAUUCGAGCUUCAGAAAGAGCUAGCUUCCCUUCUCAUGAAGGCGACUAUCUCAUUUUUCAUCCCCGGAUUCAGGUGGAGUCUCUUGCUCCUUUAGGGGCGUUUACUUUUGACAGUUAGCUUAAAUAGAUAAAAAUAGUACAGACGAAUCUGUUAUUUACUAAAAAGGGUAAAUUUCAAUAUAUCCAGGAUAAAAAUACUCAAUGGGCAAUCAUUCAUUUUAUCAGUCAUGCAGAGUAAACGUCUCCUUAGAAGUCUGUUGAUUCUUGAAAUAAGACGAGCAUCUGUGAUGCUCUGUUUGUGCAUUUGAACUGUAGGUACUUGCCGACGAGGACGAAUAGAAGGAUAGACCAUAUAAGGAAGGAAGUGGAGUCACUCUUGCUUGAUCUGAUCGAUAAACGAAUGAAGGCAAUUGAAGCAGGGGAAGCCAUUACUGAUAACCUAUUGGAUAUAUUGCUUGAAUCCAAUUUCAAGGAAAUACAACAAAAGGGUAACAAGUUUGGAAUGAGCUUGCAGGAUGUGGUUGAAGAGUGUAAGCUUUUCUACAUUGCCGGACAGGAGACAACCGCGGCCUUGCUCGUGUGGACUAUGAUUCUACUUGGCAAGCACACGGAUUGGCAGGACCGCGCACGAGAGGAGAUCCGAGGAGCCUUUGGAGGCCGACAGCCGGAUUUCGAAGGCCUAAAUGCCCUCAAAACUGUAAGAUCUCUACAACUUUCUCAUCAACAUGGAAAUUGGCACCCGUUGUUGGGUGAAUAUUAGUUUAUACUCGAACUAUUUUCGCAGUAUCAUUUAUAUUUUAAACUAUCAAAAGUGUUUUUCAAAAAUGAAUUGUGAUUUUGCAUCAAUUUUGUUAUUCGUCUAUUUUUCGGCUCCAAAAAAUUGAUAUGCUCACCGAAUGCCACAAUGAAUUUAACAUUAUUCUUUUUUUUAACUUACAUGCCCAAAAUGACUUCAUUUUGUGCCUCACUAACUGAACAUUGUAAAAUUCAACUUGGCAUUUUUUUUAUUAGUAAGGAACAUAACAACGUUGUUUUUUCCCGUUAAAAAAAAAAAUCUGAAUACAAUUGUUUCCAAAAUCUAGAAUUGGAGGGAGUGCAAAAUUGAUACAAAAUCGAUUAUUCGUGUUUAAAAAAAANUAUUUCAAUACUUCAGAAGAGGGUUAUUAAUUGCAUAAAGUUUAGCAAUUCAUGAACUGUACGUACUCCCUCCGUCCAUGAUAUCGUUUCCAUUUUUAUUAUUUUAGUCUGUCCACAAUAUCAUUUUUAUUUCUAUUUAUAGCAGUAGGGUUCACAUAACACUUUAUUUUCCUCCACACAUUUAUAGUAAGACCGAAACUCCACUCACACCAAUACUUGUUAUUAUAUCAAUUAUUAUCCACCAUUUUCUUAAAACCCGUGCCGUCCAUAAUGUGGAAACGAUAUCGUGGGCAGAUAGAAUAUAUGAACUUUAAUUUUGGUACUAAAAUCUCAAAAGUUUAAUGCGUAAUCCAUGAUCAAUUUAUGGUUGUGUAUUUUAUUCAUAAUCAUAUGAUCAAAUUAAUGUUGCAGGUAAGUAUGAUUCUUGAUGAGGUUGUAAGGUUAUAUCCACCGGUAUUCAUGGUUGGUCGGAGAACUCACAAGGAAACUGCAAUCGGAGAUCUGAUCAUACCUGCCGGAGUGAACCUCAUACUGCCUUCACUUCAGGUGCACCACCACCGCCAAAUAUGGGGCGACGACGCAGACGAGUUCAAGCCACAGCGUUUUAGUGAAGGAGUUUCUUCCAAGGCCAAGGGGCAGCAGCUUAAGGAUUUCCCUUUUGGUUGGGGACCUCGGAUUUGCAUUGGCCAAAACUUUGCUAUUUUAGAAGCCAAAAUGGCAGUAGCCAUGAUCUUGCAGCGUUACUCCUUUGAGCUUUCACCAUCUUAUUCUCAUGCCCCUACCGCUGUGCUGUUUCUUCAACCCCAACACGGCGCCCACUUAAUUCUGCGCAGAUUAUAGCUAGCUACGCUUCAAAGUUCUCAUUAAUUUGUUGAUUAUGGUAUUUUAUAAACAUUGAGUGUGAAUCGAGUUUAAAGUAUAAAGAGGAUUUCUAAAAAAGGAAAACACACAAUCUUUGUGGACGGACGAAAAUAGUAAUAAACACAUGAUCUUCGUCCGAUGGAGUAUAUUUUUGUGGAAGAUGAAUAUUACAAAUUUGGAUUUUUUUAAUAUGCUUUUGGGGUUAUUUGCAAUUUAGGCUCAAUUUUUGAAACAUAACAAUAAGGACCCAACGUUAUCAUUCAUUACAUAAGUUAGUAUUUUAUAUGGUGUAAAUUUAAUAAUUUAGAAUUACAAUACAAAUGAUUUAUUUAAUAGUUUUAUUAAAAAUUUAAUUUUGCUACAAUUCUUGAAAUUAAAAUAACUAUGUAAAAAUAAAUCGUAGAAAAUGAACAUGAAUGUUUACCGUCUGAACUUGUGAGACAGAAAUCAAUUGUGUCUUAAUACAGUAUUAGCUUUUUAUAUUUGUGGACUAUUAAUUAUCAAUUAUAUUGUUGAAUUUGAAUGUGUCUAUUAAUGCACAAACUUUUAGUAAUUCAUAAAUUGCAUACAUAUUAACUUUAUUCUGGUAUUACAAUACAUAAACUUCCCAUUUGUUCUGAUUUUACACAAACUAAGAUUCUAAAAUUUCCAAAUAGAGUAAUGCAUUUUUUUUUUUUUUGGCAUUGUUUAUCUGAGUUUUACUGUUUAGAUUGUUUCUUCAAACAUUUUCAAACUCAUUGAUUUUAUUUCGAUAUUUUUUUGAUUGAUUGAUUGAUUUUGAAAUGGAUUUAAAUUUAAAUUUGAGGAUUUUAAUUAGUUUUGUGGUAAACUAAAACAAAUUGAAAAUUUAUGUAUUGUUAUACUAAAAUUAAAAUUAAGGUGUAAUUCAUGAAUUGAUUAAAAGUUUGUGUAUUUACUGGCUUACCCUUUGUUAUUAUUUUUCUGAAAUGGUAAGCAUGAUUCUUGAUGAGGUUCUAAGGUUAUAUCCACCGGUAGUCAUGGUUGGUCGGAAAACUCACAAGGAAACUACAAUCGGAGAUCUGAUCAUACCUGCCGGAGUGAACCUCCUACUGCCUUCACUUCAGGUGCACCACCACCGCCAAAUAUGGGGCGACGACGCAGACGAGUUCAUACCGGAGCGUUUUAGUGAAGGAGUUUCUUCCAAGGCCAAGGUGCAGCAGCUUAAGGAUUUCCCUUUUGGUUGGGGACCUCGGAUUUGCAUUGGCUAAAACUUUUCUAUUUUAGAAGCUAAAAUGGCAGUAGCCAUGAUCUUGCAGCGUUACUCCUUUCAGCUUUCACCAUCGUAUUCUCAUGCUCCUACCGCUGUGCUGUUUCUUCAACCCCAACACGGCGCCCACUUGAUUCUGUGAAUAUUGUAUGAAAUGAGUGAUUGAGAUUGAAUAAAUAAUAAUUUUUUUUGGUAAAUAAAGAGCAUAUUUGUAAGGAUAAAUGAUAAGAAAAAUAGGUGGGAUCAUAUCUUUAAAAGGAAAGUAACAUAUUUUUCACGAACGCAAAAAUAACAAAAAGUGACGUACUUUUGGCGAAUGGAGAAAACAUUAUUUAUAAGGUCAAAGGUCUUNAUCCAGCUAAUUCCCAUUCCAAUUCUUCGUUGACCAAUAUAGCAACCAAAAUUCCAGUACCAAACACAAAAAGUCAAACUCUCCCACUCAUAAUAACAAUGGCUCCAUUCAUUUUUAUGGCAGUAAUGUUUUCAUAUAUAAUUUCUCUGCAAAGUAAAGAAGCAAUGAAUCCACUCUACACAUUACUGGCAAUUCCUUGUGGUGUUGUAGCAUCAAUAUACGCAUGGAGUUUCUUGAAGUGGGCGUGGCUUACGCCAAAGAAGCUCGAAAAAUCCCUCAGGCAGCAGGGUUUCAAUGGCAAUCCUUACAAAUUCUUGCUUGGAGACUUGAAUUAAUGAAAUCAUGAAGAUGGAGAAAGAAUCAAUCUACAAUCCCAUCUCUUUCUCCGAUGAUUUCCUACCUCGAAUCAGGCCCUUCGUGCACAAAACCCUUAGUAACUACGGUACAUCGUCGUUUUAUGAAGGGUUAAUCAUAGAGUACUAUUAGGGGCAUUUACUUUGCAUGAUUUAUAAGAUGCAUGAUUGAGUAUUUUUAUUCUCAAAAGUAGGAUUUCUUCAAUCCCACCCUUUUAGGGGCCUUUACUUUAAAUAAUUAGUCUUGAUAGAUCAAAGUAGUAAGACAAAUCUCUUGUUUAAUUUGUUGGAUUGAACUUUGGGAUAUCCCAAUGCCCUUGAUUAUUUUUAUCAGCCCUUGAUUAUUUUUAUCAUUUAAGCUUGUUUGCUUGAUUCUUAUCCCAUCAAGCUUGAGGAUAAAAAUACUCCGUCAUUCAUUUUAUCAAUCGUGCAAAAUAAACGCCCCCUCAAUCCAUCAUCAAAGUAAACAAGGGAUUAACUUUACUAUUUUUAUCUAUCAAGGCUAAAGUAAAUGUCCCUUGGUCACUACUAAAAAAAACGCUCAUACAUAACGGUAAAUUUCCGUUAUGUAUGUACCAAAACUACCGUUGUAUAUAGUGGUGUUAUGUAUGAGGGCGCUCAUACAUAACGGUAAUAUACCGUUACCUAUACUAUGUAUACAUAACAGCAAAUGAGGUAUACAUAACACUUUGAUUACCGUUUUGUAUGAAUGCAAUACAUAACGUUAAAAUCUGUUAUAAAAUGUGUUUUUUCCGUUAUGUAUUGUAACUAUACAUAACGAUUUUUUAUAUUAUACAUAACGAUUAAUUGCUGUUUUCUUAUGAUAGCAAACAUAAUAGUGUUUCACCGUUAUAAAUCUUAUUUUUUUCGUUAUAAAAUGUAUUUCUUACAUAUUGUGUAGUUGUUAUACAUAACGUUUUUUUUGAAUUUUACAUAACGGUCAUUCUCUGUUAUCUUUUGUUAUGAAACAUUUAUUUUUUCCCCCUAUUUUUGUAAUUUCCCAAAUAUAAAUUAUACAAUAUCCUCAAACACAACAAAUACUACAAUUCCAAACAUAUAUUAUAUAAAUAAUCAAUCGUCCAAACAUUGUACUAAAAUUAUCAUCCGAAGAUAAUCAAAAUGCUAAGUACAAUAAUUCUAUAUAAAGUUAAAAGGAAACAAAAAUAACAAAAAAAAAAAAACUACCACAAACCAAUCUGCCCAUACAAGGAAACUAAUUAUGUCUAUGUCAACACCACUCAAUAGAUACAUCCUCAUCCUGUUCAAAACGAGGUGCCUUAUAAUCUUGUCUGAACCACUGAUGUUCUAGAAUUUCAAGAAUACUCAUUUGCUGCAACAUAACACAUGAAUUACUCCAAAUUAAUUGAACAUUCAAUUAAACAACGCACCAAUGAUUAUGAGUAUUUAAGAGCUCACAGUUAGUGGAUUUAGACUUGAGCACAUUGCACCUGAAGAAAAGAAUCACAUAAUCAUUUCAAGGUAUCCAAAGAUUCUAGGUGCCUAAUGAAUAACCAUCUCUGCAAUUAUAGUAAUUAAAUACCUCAAGCAUGAAGCUGCUCGUCACCUUUUACAUCUUCUGGAAUUGAAGCAACCACGCAUGUAAAUAGCUUUGUCUUAACAUACUUUUCCAGUCCCUGAAAUUAAAACAAGCAAGUCCAUUCCAUUUAAAGCAGCUAUCCAAUAAAAUUACGUAUGCAGAUAAACAAAAAGGGGUUUAUACACUUUUUAUCCAUUUAAGUUAAUGAAAGAUAGAAGAAAAGAUUAAGUGACUAACAUAAAAUUAAAAGGACCCUGCUCCAAGCUGAAAUACAGUUCAUUAGUAUAAGAUGCAGAUAAACAUCUAUGACAAAAGAGAAUGAAAGCAAAGAGAAAAUAGGCAUCUUUCAAAUCAUACAAGAUAAUCAUGCAGUAAUCAGGAACACUUACUGCCAAACCGCAAAUGGUACUAUAGAGAGCACUUUUUCUGCCAGUUGGCAACAGUUUCAUCCCCUGCAUAAAAAUGCAUAAAGAAGAGGGGACUGUAACCUUAGAAAUAUUUAAAACUUCUUUGAAAGUUGACAGGGUAUUGAUAAAAAAGGAUAUAGUUCAGGCACCAAAUGUAAUUUUUUAUUUAUGAAGUUUAACUAAUAGGUACCUGGAAGAGAACAGUUAUGACAACAAGACAAACUCCAAUGGCCAUUGAGCUGCUGUAGUAAAAUGGAACCCAACUACUAAUAAUUGGAGUCAGCAACAAUAUAACGAAACCAUGUGAAUCCAUUAAGUCAAGAGCAGAUAAGAUGGCACUACCUAAAGCUUCCUCAUUAAGCCACAUCUCAAUGAUCACUCACAUCUUUAAUUAGUAUAAACUAAAACCAACCUAUCAAAUCUUAGAACAGGAAAUUCUUCCAUUAUUACUCAACUCGAUGGUCUAUUAGAUGCGGUCCACCUACAGAAUACAUGAUGAUGCAACACAAAAGAAAUUGAUAUAAGAAUUGAAACACAUUGAUCAUAAAUUCUGGUAUCUUAGUUGAGACCCUAACCAGAAAGCCACACUCAAAUGAUGAACUUUCAUUUGAUAACAAAACUGCAUCACCUAAAAAAUUCUCAAAAGGAUUCUUUGACUUCUUUUUGGUUACCCAAAGAACAUGCCCUGUUUCUAGAAUUAUACAAUAACUCAAUUGAUUAUCGAUCAUUUGUCCUUUUUAGAUACAAUACAAUUUCAGAUAAUUUCAACUUCAUAAUAAAGUGCUAAUAAAGGUAUGACCAUCACAUCCUAGAAACUAGAAUGAGUAGACAAAGAGAGAAAUUGAACAGCUCACCGCUUCAACAACGGCGUCGUAGAACCUGAGGUCAUUGUCGCUGGUGCCAUGUGCGGCGCAGACGGUGGUUCCGAUUGAUAGCUUCAGGCACUUCUUAUCCUGCAGCUGCUGUGAAACCGGUCUAAACCGGCCGACCAGCUUCUCCACCUGUGCCUCCGUCCGGAAAUUCCCGGCGGGAACUCCUCCUUACUCAUUCUAAUUUCCUCACCAACCAAAUUGUAUUAGCUAACUCCUAAUUCAUUCUAAUCUCCAGAAAUAAAUAGAGAAAAAACAGUCGACAAAGAAAAACCCCAACACUAAAUUUUUGAAAAUACCUGCAAUUAAAAGUAAACCUUGAUCCAAAUAGUAUCUCCAACAAAAAUCUGGAGCUUCUCCCUGGUGGCAAGGUAGAGGGAGACAACGGAGUUGUCGUCAUUGACCGCCUCAUUAAAGACGAGGCGGUUGAGAAAUCCUUCAAUUUCCUGCUCAGAAAAACAAAAGAAAACUUCAGAUUCUAGCGGCGGUUACUUUAAAAGCAAGAGAAAUAGAAGGAAGAUCUGAUUCAGAAGCUGUAGCUGAUGGCGCCGACACUGGUGGCACGCGGGACGGCAGACGCAGGAGAGAUAAUCUGGGGGACGGAGUGGGAGAACUUUCGGCAGGAGCAACGACGAGGAUACCAUAGCUAGGGCACAAACCAUCAGUAAAUCUCUCCCCGCCAUAGCUCUCACCGGCGGUAGCGGCGACCGCCAGCGCUGCAUACGCAGCGGCGAUUCACGGCACCGCCGCGAACGAGAGCAGGGGGCGGAAUGGGAUCGGGAGAGGAAGCGUAGAUGGCAGGGGGACAGAGAACGAGCAAGAGAGAAGGAAUACCUGAAACAGCGAGAGCAGAGGGUGUGAGGGACGGUCUAGCAGCGGCGGCGGCGGCGGCGGAGGAGGCGAUGGCGAGAUUCACCGGAGAAACAGAAACUCAAAGUGAAACUGAAACCCUAGGUUUCUGAUUUUGAAAUUAAGGGGGUAUUUAGCUUAUUUAAAAAUUAGAAUUAAUAAUAAAAAUAAAAUUAAUAAAUAAAUAAUACUCAUAUAUAACGAUUUUCUUAACGCUAAAAUAACCGUUAUAAAACAGAUGCUCAUAGAUAACGUAUAACUUAACGGUUUGGUAAUAUCGUUAUAUAUAUCACUAAUAGAUAACGCUAGUACGUAACGCUUAAUUUGAUACUGUUAUAAAUACAUUUGGAUAACAGUACAUACAUAACAGAGUUUUGUAAAACCGUUAUGUAUUAUUAAAAGUGCGCUCAUACAUAACGGUUUUUGACCAAAACCAUUAUGUAUGAACCAUUAUCCCUAUUUUGAUUUUUAGUAGUGGGUGAAUUCUGAUUCAAUUAGUUGGUGAAUAUUGAAGUGUCCCACAUUGGAUUGGAGAUAGUGGCAUGAGCCACUUUAUAGGGUGAGGCAAUCCUCUCCCUUAUAAGGCCUUUUAAGGGAGGAAUGAGCCCAAUAUCCAUUUCUAACAUGGUAUCAGAGCCAACCCAAUCCAAUGAUGCCCCCCAAUAUCGUUGUCAACAGAUGACGUUUGGGAUAGUCCACACUGUGCGUGCGGGAGUGUAUUGAAGUGUCCCACAUUGGAUUGGAGAUAGUCCAUUUCUAACAGUGAAGAACUAUAUAAAUUUUGAUUAUUUCCAAAAAUAAGAUUCCAACCGAAUCAAAACUAAUUUUUAGAAAUUCUCGUCCCAUGUCUAAAAAUUCUGAAUAACUAUAUGAUUUAUAAUCUUGAUUUGCAUUGACUAAAAGUUGAUGAGAUGGUUGUUGUUACAAUUUCAGGCAAGAACUCUUUUGUCUGGUUUGGAACUCACCCUUCUGUAUUUAUCUGGGAUCUUGACAAGAUCAGAGAGAUUCUGUCGAAACCUCUCAUCUUCCAGAAGCCGAGUAAUCCAACAGGCGAAGUCUUGGCGAAAGGGUUUGCGAGCUACGAAGGCGAUAAAUGGGCUAAGCAUAGGAGGUUGAUCAAUCCUGCAUUUCAUCUUGAAAAAAUAAAGGUAAUCUUCUUCUAAAUACUUGCUUCCACAAUCCAUUUUCUUGAAGUAAAACUGUCGAUGCAGAAAAUGGUUCCAUCAUUCUACAUGAGUUGUUGCGACAUGUUGAGUGAAUGGGAAAAGAUGGUAGCAAGUGAAGGAGCGUUCGAGUUAGACGUGUUAGAAAUGGAUAUUGGGCCCAUUCCUCCCUUAAAAGGCCUUAUAAGAGAGAUGGUUGUCUCACCAUAUAAAGUGGCUCAUGCCACUAUCUCCAAUCCAAUGUGGGACACUUCAAUAAGACGUGUGGCCUUAUCUCGAGACCUUAACGAGUGAUGCUAUUUCGCGCACUGCAUUUGGCAGUAGCUACGAACAAGGAAGGAAGAUAUUCGAGCUUCAGAGAGAGCUAGCUGCCCUUCUCAUGAAGGCUACCAUGUCUGUUUUCAUCCCGGGAUUCAGGUGGAGUCUCUUGCUCUUUUAGGGGCGUUUACUUUUAACAAUAGGUUAAAUAGAUAAAAGUAGUACAGACUAAUCCAUUAUUUGCUAAAAAGGGUAAAUUUUAGUAUCUGCAAGAUAAAAGUACUCAAUCAUUCAUCUUAUCAUGAAAAGUAAACGUCUCCUUAGAAGUGUGUUGAUUGUUGCAAUAAGACGAGCAUUUCUGAUGGAUUUGAACUGCAGGUACUUGCCAACAAGGACGAAUAGAAGGAUAAAGCAUAUAAGGAAGGAAGUCGAGUCACUCUUGCUUGAUCUGAUCGAUAAAAGAAUGAAGGCAAUUGAAGCAGGGGAGGCCAUUACUGAUAACUUAUUGGAUACGUUGCUUGAAUCCAAUUUCAAGGAAAUGCAGCAAAAGGGUAACAAGUUUGGGAUGAGCUUGCAGGAUGUGGUCGAAGAGUGUAAGCUUUUCUACAUUGCAGGACAAGAGACAACCGCGGCCUUGCUCGUGUGGACUAUGAUUCUAUUGGGCAAGCACACGGAUUGGCAGGGCCGCGCAAGAGAGGAGAUUCGCGGAGCCUUUGGAGGCCGGCAGCCGGAUUUCCAAGGCCUAAAUGGCCUCAAAAUUGUAAGAUCUCUACAACUUUCUCAUCAACAUGGAAAUUGUCAAUUUGUUAUUGGGCAGUUUGAACUCCAAACACAUAACACUGUGGUAUCUGGCAGGUCACAUCAACCUUUCAAAGUCGAGAAUUGGAUGAAGGGCAAAAUAUAUUGAUACAAACUCGAUAGUUUAUGUUUUUAAAAGGUGUUUUUGUCGGAAAAUACUCAUAGUUUGCCAAUAUUCUGAUUUAUAAUAUUUUAUAAUUUGACCAGAAAAUACAUCAAUUUUUUAAUUUAAUUGCAACUGUGACGUAAUUUAAAUUUCUGCCAAAUAACAUCCUAGUUGGUAAUCGAAACUCCAGCGUUGCUCAAAACAACCGAUUGGCAGAAGACACACAAUUAUACUAAUAGCAACGAUGACGUUUUUUUUAUUGAGGAUUCUGUGGCAGAAAUUCAAAUUAUAUCACAAUUGCGAUUAAAUUAAAAAUUGAUAUAUUUGCUGGUCAAAUUAUAAUGUCAUACUAUUAUAAAUUAGAAAAUAGGCAAACUAUGAGUAUUUUUCGGCAAUAUUCCCUUUUUAAAAAUGCAUUUUCAAUAGUUCAGAAUAAAGUUAUUAAUGCACAAACUUUUAGUAUAAUUCAUAAAUUGCAUAUAUAUGAACUAUUCUGGUAUAACAAUACAUAAACUUCCCAUUUGUUCUGAUUUUACCACGAAACUAAGAUUCUAAAAUUUCCAAAUAGAGUAAUGCAUGUUUUUUUUUUUUUUUGGCAUUGUUUUAAUCUGAAUUUUCGCCAUGUUUUAGAUUGUUUCUUCAAACAUUUUCAAACUCAUUGAUUUUAUUUCGAUAUUUUUUUGAUUGAUUGAUUGAUUUUGAAAUGGAUUUAAAUUUAAAUUUGAGGAUUUUAAUUAGUUUUGUGGUAAACUAAAACAAAUUGAAAAUUUAUGUAUUGUUAUACUAAAAUUAAAAUUAAGGUGUAAUUCAUGAAUUGAUUAAAAGUUUGUGUAUUUACUGGCUUACCCUUUGUUAUUAUUUUUUUGAAAUGUUGCAGGUAAGCAUGAUUCUUGAUGAGGUUGUAAGGUUAUAUCCACCGGUAGUCAUGGUUGGUCGGAAAACUCACAAGGAAACUACAAUCGGAGAUCUGAUCAUACCUGCCGGAGUGAACCUCCUACUGCCUUCACUUCAGGUGCACCACCACCGCCAAAUAUGGGGCGACGACGCAGACGAGUUCAUACCGGAGCGUUUUAGUGAAGGAGUUUCUUCCAAGGCCAAGGUGCAGCAGCUUAAGGAUUUCCCUUUUGGUUGGGGACCUCGGAUUUGCAUUGGCUAAAACUUUUCUAUUUUAGAAGCUAAAAUGGCAGUAGCCAUGAUCUUGCAGCGUUACUCCUUUCAGCUUUCACCAUCGUAUUCUCAUGCUCCUACCGCUGUGCUGUUUCUUCAACCCCAACACGGUGCCCACUUGAUUCUGCGAAGAUUGUAUGAAAUGAGUGAUUGAGAUUGAAUAAAUAAUAAUUUUUUUUGGUAAAUAAAGAGCAUAUUUGUAAGGAUAAAUGAUAAGAAAAAUAGGUGGGAUCAUAUCUUUAAAAGGAAAGUAACAUAUUUUUCACGAACGCAAAAAAUAACAAAAAGUGACGUACUUUUGGCGAAUGGAGAAAACAUUAUUUAUAAGAUCAAAGGUCUUGGAUUCGAAUCCCCUGUAGUGCGACAUUUAAUUUCUUUAUUUAAUAUUGUUAAUUUAUCAAAAAAAGUGGGAGAUAAAGAGAGAUGGCCAUGGACGACUUCAGCUCGCGGCCACUUUCUCCACCCAUGUUUGGGCCGAGUUGGACGCUUCAACUGUUGUUUCCCUCUUUCAUUCAUGUAGCCCAAACACGACGCACAAUUAGUUACCAGGAUUCAGCUUAUCCCACGGUAUACAGGUCCGAUAAACUCACAUUCAUCGAGAGAGCAACCGCCCAACAGUUUUUAUGGCUCGCCUUGGACAUAAUGUUUCAGUGAUUUCUUGUUCGAUGCUUCCACUGCACCUAGAUAUUUUUUAAAUGUUGUUAGAAUGAAUCAAUUGGGAUAUCCUAAUUUUAAAUUUAAUUGCAAUAUUUUCCUAUGAGGUUAAUUUGUCACUUGUGGAUCAUUCCUAAGUUGGUGUUGUUUGGUUUUUGAGCUUCGAGUUUGGGUCACUUGUGACAUCUAUAUAUAUAUAAAAGCAAAAUAAACUCUAUCCUACGUGGCGGCAUAUAAUCACUCUAUUUCAAUUUUUCUCAAUUCUCAUUCAUUCUUAUAUUUUUCAAUAUCUCUAAUCAAUCUCCACCUCUAAUCAAACUCCAUCAGACAAAAUAACUCUAUCAUACGUGCGGCAUAUAAUCACUCUAUUUCAAUUUUUCUCAAUUCUCUAUUCAUUCUUAUAUUUUCAUAUCUCUAAUCAAUCUCCACUCNAAAUUGAGAAGUUGCUUAUUGCUAAUUUCACAAGUUUAACCAAUUUUCUUGGCAUGUCGUUGUCAAACGGAACUUUCAUAUCUGAUUCAGACAAUCUACUGAUAUUAGAAGAGAUGUCUUACAACAUGGAAGAAAUGAAAGAAUGUAACGUUAAACGAUAUGUCUAUAUCCCUCUUUGACAAAUGAGCAAAGAAUGAUAUAUGAAAAAACAUGCAAGAAAUGAAAGAAGACAACGUUAAACUAUAUGUCUAUAUCCCUCUUUGACAGACGAACAAAUAAUGAUUUAUGAAAAAAUAAUGGCUGUGGUUGAUAGUGGUGUAGGGAGGAUUUUUCUUUCCAUAUGGAUAUAGCAUCAUUAUUGUUGUCUAGGGCAGUACUACACACUCUAAAUUCGGUAUACCAUUAGAUUGCCACAAAGUGUAAUUUUUUUAUAGCUAUUAAUUUUGAAAAUUAAAAAAUGCAACUUUAAUUUAUUUUGAGUUCGUCCUCCAUUUUAGAAAAUAGAAAAAUAAUAUUAAAAAAUUAAAAUUACUAAAUUGUCUUUUAUGUAUGUAUGUAUAUGGUCAGAAACAUCUGAGUUUCAAUUACAUAUCCCAAGUUUAAUUUUUUUUUAAUAAUCAUUCAUUCUUUUUUUUCAAAAUUUUAAUUAAUUUUUAAUAAAAAUAAUUUAUGAAUAUGUCUACGAUUUAUAGUUUAUAGUUUUGAUUUGGAUAUUACAUUGUUCUAAUGACUUUUUCUUUAACAGAUUUGUAGUUCACAGAUGAUCAAUAAAAAACUUAGCAUUGGUACCUUGAAAAUUGAGAAGUUGCUUCUAAUUUCACCAGUUUAACCAAUUUUCCUAGCAUGUCGUUAUCAAACGAAAGUGUCAUAUCUGAUUAAGAGAAUCUACUGAUAUUAGAAGAGAUGUUUUACAAUAUGGAAGAAAUGAAAAAAGACAACGUUAAACUAUAUGUCUAUAUCCCUCUUUGACAGAUGAGCAAAGAAUGAUUUUAUCAAAAAAUAAUGGUCGUGGUUGAUAGUGGUGUAGGGAGGAUUUUUCUUUCUAUAUGGAUAUGGUGGUAUAGGAAAGACAUAUAUUUGGAACACCUUAUACUCGAUCAUACGUAGGAAGGGUAGUACUCCAGGUAGCUUCGAGUGUUAUAGCAUCAAUAAUGUUGUCUAGGGGCAGUACUACACGCUCUAGAUUUGGUAUACCAUUAGAUUGCCACAAAGUGUAAUUUUUAUAGCUAUUAAUUUUGAAAAAUUAAAAAAUGCUAAGUUUUAUUUUGUUUUGAGUUCAUCCUCCAUUUUAGAAAAUAGAAAAAGUAUUAAAAUAUAAAAUUACUAAUUGUCUUUAUGUAUGUAUGUAUGUAUGUAUGUAUUUAUAUGGUCAGAAUGGUUGGUCUAAUAUAUUUUUCUCAUUAGUUAAAAUUCGUUAUUUUGCUAUUUAAGUUUUGAUUAAUUGUCUUCCUCUGUACAGAAAAUGAAUGAGUACACAUUUGAUAAAAGUACAUUUUUAUUUAAAAUAUACAUAUUACAUAUUACAUACUUAUUACAUAUAAUAAUUUUCUCAUAAGAAAUAGGCAAAUGCUUCUGGUUCGAAUAUAAAAGAAACCAAAGAAUUUGCGGAAUGGAUAUUUAAAAAUAUAGGUGACUGUACUGCCGGUCAAAGUCUUGGUGAUGGAGAAUCUGUUGUGACAUUAUCAGAAGACAUUCUUAUACGUGAUGCAACAAAUCCUAUUGCAGUUAUAGUGGAGAACACAUAUCAUGCAUUUGACCUAUAAAUGUUUAAGAAUAGAGUUAUCUUGGCCCCACCAAUGAGAUGGUUGAUACGAUAAAUGAUGACGUCAUGUCUUUAAUGUCUAUCAAAGAAAGGGUUUUACCUAAGUUACAACAACAUUACGCAAAGAAGAUGGACAAGUGGACCUCGAUGAACAGAUAUUACUCGGAUGAAUAUCUAAACACGAUCAAGUGUUCACGAUUGUCGAGUCAUGAAAUUAAGAGGGAUGCAUAAUCAUGCUUUUUAGAAAUAUUGAUUCAUCUAAUGAGCUUUGCAAUGACACUAGGCUAAUAGUAACUAAACUUAGGGAACGCGUAAUUGAAGACAAAUUCAUUUCAGGAAAAAAUGCGGGCAAAUAGUUUCCUAUAGCUGGAAUGAUUAUGAGUCUAUCAGAUUUCACUAAAUUUUCAAUUCGGUUUUAGAGAAGACAAUUCUCUGUGAGUGUUUAUUUUGCUAUGGAAAUAAAUAAAAAUCAGGGACAAUCUCAUUCAAAUGUAGGAUUAUAUGCGAAAUCUGUUUUUAGUCAUGGACAACCCUACAUGUCAAAUUUAAUAAUUUAUUCAAACUUUGAUAGUUUAAGUCAUUAAUGAUUUUAUUUAAUUUAUUUAUUUUCUUAUUUUUUGCAGUUAUUGGUUCCAGCUACAGGCAUCUAAUUUAGGUACGUUUCAAAUAAUUGUUCCAAUUUCUCUUUUAAUAUCUUGUGGGUUGAAACUAUGCUUACAUAUAAAUUUCAUAAAGACAUUUAAAUUAGAUCAAUUUCAAAUAAAUAUUAUAGCCUUUUACUUUAAAAUAAUUUUAUUAAAUUCUCUAUUUCAGUAAAAAGAAAUUCAUAAAACAAAAAAAUAUAAUAUUAAAUAAUUUUAUAAAUUUAUAUUUUAAUAGAUCCCGUCGAAAUUCGACGGGUCAUUUACUAGUUUUACUAUUAAUUUGAUGAUGCGUAAGUUGUUUGUUUGUUGUUCUUUUGGACAAAUGUCAUGUUAUUUCUAGAGGCUCUAACGCUGAAUUUUACCAUUCUUCAUCUCUGAAUUUUGACCGACAUAAUAACGAAAAUUCCAAUACCAAAGUAGAAUAUUAAACAUAUCCAUAAAGACGAAAAUUCAAACUCUCCCACUCAUAUAUAUAAUACCGAUGGCUCUAUUCUUUUAUGGCAGUAAUAUAUCUUUUCAUAAAUUCUGUGCAAAGUAAAGAAACAAUGAAUCUACUCUACAUAAUAGUGGCAAUUCCUUGUGGUGUUGUAGCAUCAAUAUACGCAUGGAGGUUGUUGAAAUGGGCAUGGCUUACGCCAAAGAAGCUCGAAAAAUCCCUCAAGCAGCAGGGUUUCAAUGGCAAUCCUUACAAAUUCCUGCUAGGAGACUUGAAUGAAAUCAUGAAGAUGGAAGAAUCAGUCUCCAACGCCAUCUCUCUCUCCCAUGAUUUCCUACCUCGAAUCAUGCCCUAUGUGCACAAAACCCUUACUAACUAUGGUACAUAUAUCAUCUUUUUAUCAAGAGUUAAUUCAUAUAUAGACUAUUGGUUUAAUUUGUCCAUAUUUAAUUAGUUGGUAAAUAAAUAUAUAAGUUUUGUUUAUUUUCGGUAAAAAGAUUCUAAUGCCACGUAGGUUUCGAUUUAAUUGGAAUCUUAAUUUUUUAUUAACAGCCGAUUAAUUAUGACUAACUAUAUAAGCACAAUUAAAAAAAAUUACUAUUUGUAUUUUGUUAGAUUAUAAAUUUAUCACAUGAGAAAACGAAAGAUUAUUUAUACUAAUAUAAAAAGUGUCUUGGGCAUAAAAUAUAAAUUGCUUAUUAUAUCUCUAUUACAUAAUAUAUAUAGGCAAUCUAUAUUUUAACAAGUUACCAUAAUAUUCAUAAUUGUUAUAUAUUUUAACAACUUUUGAUUUAUAACAUUAACAAUACCUAUAUAUUUAUACAGAUAUUAUCUAAAAAGUUAUAUUUUAUUAUCUUAUUAUUUUAUAAAAUGAUUAGUUUUUUAAACGACCUAAGUUGGACAAAGAAAUUUAUUAGUUUAUAGAGUUAUUAAUUUAUUUAUAUUAUUUUAAAGAGUUUUACUAUAUAUAGUUAAGAUCAAUAGACCAAAAUUGUUAAUUAAAAAUUAAAUAUAAUAAUUUAUAUUUAUAUACAGCAUAUCUUUAAUUUUUAUCAUAUCAAAUAACAAUAGUUAUGCAUACAAUUAAUGUAUUCUCUUUCUGCUAGUCCCUUCAAAUAUCUCAUUUAUUUUCCCUCAUUUUCUACAAAAUAAAAUUUCACCAAAUUCCCGUUCUAGAAAAUGAGGAAGAAGAAAAGAAAUAAUGAAAAGGAGAAAUUUGUUUUAUUUAUUAUUUUCUUAUGAUAAAUUUAUGACCUAAGUAAACACACCAUACAUGAUACAGCUAAUCUUGUUGUUACAUUAAUUUCAGGCAAGAACUCUUUUGUCUGGUUCGGAACCGUUCCUUCUGUAUUUAUCUGGGAUCUUGACAAGAUCAGAGAGAUUCUGUCGAAACCUCUCAUCUUCCAGAAGCUGAGCAAUCCAACAGGCGAAGGCUUGGUGACAGGAUUACUGAGCUACGAAGGCGAUAAGUGGGCUAAACAUAGGAGGUUGAUCAAUCCUGCAUUUCAUCUUGAAAAGAUAAAGGUAAUCUUCUGCUGAAUACUUGCUUACACAUUCCAUUUGCUCAUCUACUGUUUCUUCAAUACAGAAAAUGGUUCCAUCAUUCUACAUGAGCUGUUGUGACAUGUUGAGUGAAUGGGAAAAGAUGGUAGAAAGUGAAGGAGCAUCUGAGUUAGAUGUGUGGCCUUAUCUCCAAACCUUAACGAGUGAUGCUAUUUCGCGCACUGCAUUUGGCAGUAGCUACGAACAAGGAAGGAAGAUAUUCGAGCUUCAGAAAGAGCUAGGUGCCCUUCUCAUGGAGACAACUAUCUCUGUUUUCAUCCCCGGAUUCAGGUGGAGUCUCUUGCUCUUUUAGGGGGCGUUUACUUUUAACAAUAGGUUAAAUAGAUAAAAGUAGUAUAGACUAAUCCAUUAUUUGCUAAAAAGGGUAAAUUUUAGUAUCUGCAAGAUAAAAGUACUCAAUCAUUCAUCUUAUCAUGAAAAGUAAACGUCUCCUUAGAAGUGUGUUGAUUGUUGCAAUAAGACGAGCAUUUCUGAUGGAUUUGAACUGCAGGUACUUGCCAACAAGGAGGAAUAGAAGGAUGAAGCAUAUAAAGAAGGAAGUGGAGUCACUCUUGCUUGUUCUGAUCGAUAAAAGAAUGAAGGCGAUUGAAGCAGGGGAGGCCAUUACUGAUAACUUAUUGGAUACGUUGCUUGAAUCCAAUUUCAAGGAAAUGCAGCAAAAGGGAAACAAGUUUGGAAUGAGCUUGGAGGAUGUGGUCGAAGAGUGUAAGCUUUUCUACGUUGCAGGACAAGAGACAACCUCGACCUUGCUCGCGUGGACAAUGAUUCUACUUGGCAAGCACACAGACUGGCAGGGCCGCGCACGAGAGGAGAUUCGCGCAGCCUUUGGAGGCCGACAGCCGGAUUUCCAAGGCCUAAAUGCCCUCAAAACUGUAAGAUCUUUGCAACUUUUGAGAAUGUUUUGAAUUAUCAAAAUUUUGGUUUUUUUUUAAAUCAUCCACCUAUUUUUGGGCUCCAAAAUAUUGACGUGGCUUGCUGAAUGUCACAAUAAAUUAGAAUUAUUCUUUUUAUAAUUUACGUGAUACAAAAUAACAUCGUUUUGUACCUUAGUAAAUAAUUCAACACUGUGAAAUCCAAUAUAAUUAGUUAGACAAAAAACGACGUUGUCUUGUACCAUUUACGUUAUAUAUAAAAAAAAGAAUAAAUAUAAUUACACCGAACACAACUUUUCGAAGUUGAGAAUUGGAAGGGGGGUUUAUGAUAAAAUCAUAACAAAACAAAUUGAAAGUUUAUAUAUUGUCAUAUUAAAAUUAAAGCUUAUGUAGUUGUAGCUAUAUAUAAUUUAUGAAUUGACUAAAAAUUUAUAUAUUCACAUGCCAAAUUAAUAUUCCCUUGAGAAUAUAACUCAGAAAUCACAAUACAAAAAGUUUAAAAUGAUAUUCACCCUUUAUUAUUUUAUUCAUACUCAUAUAUAGUAUAAUCAAAUGUUGCAGGUAAGCAUGAUCCUUGAUGAGGUUUUGAGGUUAUAUCCACCGGUAUUCAUGAUGGCUCGGAAAACUCACAAGGAAACUGCAAUCGGAGAUCUGAUCAUACCUGCCGGAGUGAACCUUAUACUGCCUUCACUUCAACUGCACCACCACCGCGAAAUAUGGGGCGACGACGCAGACGAGUUCAAGCCACAGCGUUUUAGUGAAGGAGUUUCUUCCAAGGCCAAGGGGCAGCAGCUUAAGGAUUUCCCUUUUGGAUGGGGACCUCGGAUUUGCAUUGGCCAAAACUUCGCUAUUUUAGAAGCCAAAAUGGCAAUAGCCAUGAUCUUGCAGCGUUACUCCUUUGAGCUUUCACCGUCUUAUUCUCAUGCUCCUACCGCUGCGCUGUUACUUCAACCCAAGCACGGCGCCCACUUAAUUCUGCGCAGAUUAUAGGAUUCAAAGAUUGGGGUUAUUUGAUGAUGAAUAUUUACAAAUAUGGAAUUUAAUACCCAAUCUUUUGGGUUAUUUGCAAUUCGGAUCCAAUUUGUUGAAAUGUAGUAAUCAAGAACCAACUUUAUCAUUCGUUCCAUCUGUAUUAGCAAAUGGGAUCCUCUAUCCCACAAUUUAGUGUGUACCAUCGUGUACCACUCUUAAUUUAUUAUAAUUUUUAAUUAUAUUUUAUUCAAUUUUAUAUUUAUUUGAAUUAAUAAUUGAUUAUUUGAGUUAAUUAAUUUAAAGUAAGGGUAUAUAAUUUUUUAAAAUUUCAUUUUUUAGUUAUAAAUAUUAAUUAGAGUUCAUAAUGUAAUAAUAUUUUUUAUUUUUACAACAAAUAAUUAUAAAAUAGACAAAUUAAGAGUGGUACACACUAAAUUGUGGGACAAAAGAUCCCAUUUGUUCAUAAUAUAAUAAUAUUUUUUUAUUUUUUAUUUGUUCAUUAAAUUGAAGUUGAGAUUCAGAUGUUUGAUUAACGCUAAAACUCAAAAUUGAUUGAGAAGUUUAUUAAAGCCCAAAAUUACACUUUCUAUCGCUAUAAAGUUUUAACUCCAUGUCGACCGUCAACUCAAUUACUCAACCAUCAUACAUUCGUCGAUGAAAUUGAUGAUGCAAGAGGACCUUCGGGCUAUGGAUUUAAAAAAUUUAUAGGUUUAAAUUGCAAGGAAUGUUAAAGUUGGGUCUUUAAUUGCUACAUUUCAAAAUUGGUUUAAAUUACAAAUGAUCCCAAAGAUUGGGUAUUAAAUCACAAAUAACCCUAAAAAUAACAUAUCUUUUGUAUUUUAAAAGAGGUGUUUAUUUUUUGUAAUAAAAAAGUAAAAUAAAAUAAAAUAUAUAAUAAAAUUAAAUGAUUACACAAGUUAAAAAUUAAUUAAUACAUUAACAUAAAUAAUAAAUUAAUCUAUAUUAUUUUUAUAUUUCCAUAGCAUCAACCGGUAAUAUACGACACAAAAAUACAAACAUCAAAACUAAGCAUUAAAUAGAUACACAAACGUUAAUUAACUAAAUUUGAGAGGUAAGUGACAACACUGACAAGUGAUCACCUUUCCCAACGAUCACCGAAAGCAACUUGUAAUUUUUGUAUGCUCCCUCAAAAAAAGAUUCCACAAACUACUUAUUGUCCUUUUCUGCUCCCAUGAUCUACAAAUUCAAACCAUUAGUGCUCUGUUUCGGGCCAAAGCUUGAAAAAUGGAUUUUAUCAUCUGCUUACAGACACUCUCCGCCAUUGUAGCAUUCACAUAUGUGUGCAAAAUCUUGAAUUGGGUGUGGUUCAGACCAAGAAAUCUGGAAAAACGCCUCCGGCGGCAGGGGUUCACCGGAAAUUCCUACAGGGUUUUGUACGGAGACUUGAAAGACAUGAGAUUGAUGAGCAAAGAAGCCUCGUCGAAACCUCUCGAUUUUUCCCAUGAUUUUGUUCACAGAAUUAUGCCCAUCUUCCACUUUGCUCUCAAGAAAUAUGGUAUGCUCUAAAAUCUCAAUUUCAAUUAGGUUAUGAAUUUUGUGAUGAAUAUUGAAACCGCAGGUGAGAAUUGUUUCGUGUGGUUCGGACCAAGCCCUGCAAUUCUUGUGAUGAACCCAGAAAGUGUAAGAGAAGUUGUCUCCAAAAGUAAUGUAUUUCAGAAGCCUCCUGGUCGCCCCUUUAUUAGACUGAUGAGCAAAGGAUUAGUUACACUCGAAACGGAUAAAUGGGCCAAGCAUAGGAGAUUGAUCAAUCCUGCAUUUCAUGUUCAUAAACUUGAGGUGAUUUCUUGGUAGUUAUGUUGAAAUAUUAUGAGGGUGUUUAUUUUAAAGAGCUUAUCAGAUGUUUCAGUAGCUUAUAAGAUGUAGUUUCAUAAAAGCUUAUAAGUUGUUAAAGUGUUUGAACAAUUAAGCUUAUAAGCUAUAGAGAAAAAAUCUUUGUUAGAGUGAGAAAAUCGAAUAGAGAUGACGAUAAAAAAUCAGAGUUGAAUUAUUUUUUGUAAAAUGAAUGUUGUUUAUAAGAUAAUGAGAAAAUAAGUUGAACUGUUGAGGUACAUAAACUUAUUUUUUGAGAGCUUAUAAGCUCUUAAAACUUAUUUUGACAAACACUUUGAAUAAGCUUAUAAGCUCAGCCAAACACUCUCUAUAUAUGGAAAGAUUUUGAUUUAUGUCUCUUUGAUACAAACAGCAUAUGGUUCCAUCAUUCUACUUGAGCUGUGAUGAAAUGUUGAGCAAAUGGGAUAAGAUUGUGGGAAAUGAAGGAUGCUGUGAGGUGGAUGUGUGGCCUUAUCUUCAGACAUUGACGAGCGAUGUGAUUUCAAGAACUGCGUUUGGGAGCAGCUAUUUGGAAGGAAGAAAGAUAUUUGAACUACAAAGGGAAUUAGCCCAACAUGUCAUGGAAGGAAAUCGCUCUGUUUACAUCCCGGGAUAUAGGUGCACUUCUUGAUUUCAUCACAUCCAUCUUUGUUUAUUGAUUGAUUGAUUAUUUCUUAUGUUUUGUUCCACUGUUUGAGCAGAUUUUUGCCAACAAAAGUGAACAGGAGAGUGAAAGAGAUCACGAAGGAAGUGAGAUCGUCCAUGCUCGGCAUAAUCAACACAAGAAGCAAAGCAAUGGAAGCAGGGGAGGCUAGCAAGGAAGACUUACUGGGAAUACUACUCGAAUCGAAUUCCAAAGAAUCGAACAACAUGGAAGUAAGCAGGAAUGAGCAUGGACGAAGUGAUUGAAGAAUGCAAGCUCUUCUACUUCGCAGGCCAGGAGACAACCGCGUCUCUGCUCGUUUGGACAAUGAUUCUAUGAGCAAGCACGAGGACUGGCAGAGUCGCGCCAGGGACGAGGUUCUGCAAGUUUUCAAGAGAGGAGAAUCUGAUUAUCAAGAACUGAACAACCUCAAAAUUGUAAGUAUUUUGAGGUCUUCUCUUUUUUGGCCUAAUGUUGUUGCUGGAAUAACUUCUACGGUAAAUGUGUGCAGCUAGGCAUGAUCUUGCAUGAGGUGCUACGGCUCUACCCACCGGGGCUUGUGCUCUUGCGAUUUACUCCCAAUGAAUGUAGAUUAGGAAAUGUGAAUCUGCCGGCAGGGGUGCAGCUUAUGCUGCCCUUGAUUUUGUUGCAUCACGACCCUAAAAUAUGGGGAGACGACGCGGAGGAAUUCAGACCGGAGAGGUUUAGAGACGGCGUGCCCAAGGCGGCGCAGGGGGCGGGGCAGCUGGCCUACUUCCCCUUCGGGUGGGGGCCGAGGAUAUGCAUUGCGCAGAACUUUGCUAUGUUGGAAGCUAAAAUGGCGAUGGCUAUGAUUUUGCAGCAUUACUCGUUUGAGCUUUCGCCGUCGUAUUCGCAUGCGCCUCAUCAAGUGGUGGCACUCCAACCUCAACAUGGCGCGCAUUUGAUUCUUAAGAAACUAUAACGUUUGCAAAGAGUCACAUGAACUGUGACUUGUGAGAAUAUGAUAUAGAGGAAAAUAAUUACUAUUCCCUUCGUCCCAUUAGGCUUGUCUCAUUUUUUUUGUACGAUUAUUAAGAAGAGCAUAAUUAGUGUAGUAAAAGUGUGUAAAUGUGUGGUGUCAUAUUGUUUGUAGUGUAAAAUCAUUGUCAACUAUAGAAACAGAACAAGAUCAAUGACACAAUCCAAAAAGGAAAACAUGACAAGAUCAAUGGGACGGAUGGAGUACUAAUGUAUUUGAAAAAUACUAAAAAUGCGUUUACUUUGAUGGAUAAAUUUAUUAUGGAAAAUGAAGGAUAAUAGAAAUUUAUGCCUCUAAAUAUAUGUCUCAUUUUUUUUUUUCACAUUUUAUAUAAAAUAAAAGUUCAUUAUUUUUCCUUCUUUAUUUUCACUUUUAAAGAGGGAUAAUAUUAUCACUCCUUGAAGGGAAAAUGAUGAACUUCUCUUUUGUAUAAAAUGUGGGAGAAAAAAAAGGAGGUAUUUAAAGGUAUAAAUUUUUGUUAUCCUUUUUUUUCCAUAAUAAAUUUAUCCAUCAAAAUAAACGCACCCUAGAGAAACUGUUAAAAUUUUGAAAUUUAUUUAUGUUCAAAUCAACACAAACCGAAAAACAAUCUUCGUCAAAUGUCAGACGAUCGUGCAUCCAACGGUCGAAAGACUCGAAAUAUUCACAGCGAUCACUACUGCUUCCAGCACCAUCAGAGUCUUCCAAUUCUAAAACAUAAUCACGAAAGUCAACCACAAAAUCGGAAAAAAAUGAAGAAACGUGCAGAUACUAUAGAAAAAUCAAAUUAUCAAUGUCGACAAAAUCACUUUCCUCGUAUUUAGGAUUUUUAUGUACUAUUUUUUGUUUUUAUUCACAUUAAUUACUUACCGGACGAUGCGUACAAUGAACUUGAAGGGCGUAGUUUCCGUGGCCACGUUGUUCGUCUUGGAUCCUUUUGACACACUCCACAAGAGAUUUGUUAGCAUAAUCAACAUUAAUCAAUUCAAGUGUGGGAAUAUCUCCAAUGUCAUAGGGAUGUUGCUCAAUGAGAACAAUAAAAACACUAGGCACUUGAGUCUGGGAAAUGGCUCCUUGGUGACCCACUUCUUCAAAUUACAUUUAUCAAUCUCCAAAAACUCCAGACUAGGAAACUGGUCUUCCUUAGUUUCCCAUUUACGCCCUCUGCAAGCAUCAUUUCUCAAUUUGAGCACUUGAAGAUUAGGCAGAGAGCCAACAGUAUCCAUAAAUUCCCAAGGAAAUCGACAACCGCUCAAUGUUAACUUUCUCAGCGACUCUGGGAAAACAGGGCGGAUAAAAACAUAACCAGCCUCCAUAACUAGUUUCAGCUUUUCAAGAUGAUGCAGAAAGACAAGAUUGUAGAGCUGGUAGUUUUCUCUGAAUUUGCCUCCAAAAUAAGUGAUUCCCAGCUUUCUCACAUUGGGAAUCAUUUCUGUAAUCUCUUUGGUACAUACGAACCUUCUUCCUAUCGAAAGCUCCAGCAGUCUAUUCAGAGGAGAAGUCACUCCUUCUGGAUCAGGCAGAGGGCUAUAAAAGGAUACAAGAUGGGUCAAUAGUGGCAUCGUCCAUAUCUCUAAUGGUAAAUAUAUCACAGCAUCUGAGUUUCGCCUAACUCUGUUCCUAGGACAGAUGAUCAAUGUCUGGAGAUUCCGAAGCCGGGAUAUGGCUGCUGGAAUCUCAUUUAGACACGCGAAAGCAAGGUACCUCAAGUGAAACAGGUCAAAUACUUGAGCAGGCAACGGGUGCUCAUUACAAUCAUCCACCACAUCCAACACCCACACCCUCAACAAUUUGAACACUUGUAGGGCGUCUGACGAACUUGCACUAAGAAGUCGAGAGCAUAUAACAGAGCGGAGGGUUGAGCCAUAUGUUCUUGCAAGGAGAAUUAGAUCAGGCUGAGCCAUACUCACGCGGUGCUGAAUGUUUUCUUCCUCAGCUCUUCUUCUGCAAAUCUCACGUACCAUAUCAUGGAGACCGCAGCUUUUGAUUUUGCCAUCAGACUUCCUCUUUUGCACCAAAACUAGACUUCUCUUGACCAGAUCCUCCAAAUACUCAAUGGCCUCCUCUUCCACUUCCACAAAUCCUUCAAAUCCUUCAGCAGUCCACAACUUUGAGCUUUGAGGCACGAAUCUCGUAAUCUUCGGGGAAGGCUCCCAUGUAGAGGAAGCAUGACCUCAAAUGAUGAGGCAAGUUGGUGUAACUCAAAGAUAUUAUCUUCUCCAACUCCCCACCUGAGCCUACCUUCUCUGCAACUUGUUUCCAUGAGAAUCGCGUCUCACUCACCGCGGACAACAUACCUGCAACUAGCACAAUUGCAAGGGGCAAUCCUCCGCACCUUCUGGCAAUCUCCACUCCGAUCUCCUCCAAAUCAGGUGGACAAUCUUUGCUCGGAAACACCUUCUUCUUGAGCAGAUCCCAGCUUUGAUCCUGAUCCAUGAAACGCAUCUGAUGAAGAUGACUGCUAGAUCGACUGCGUAAGAAGCCACAUCGGCUAACCGUGUGGUUAUCACUAUUCGGCUCCCAUUUCCGUCGUCAGGAAAAGAAUUGCUAACAUCGUCCCAAGCCUUUCGACUCCACACAUCAUCCAAUACGAUGAGGUACUUCCUUCCCUUCAAGAUUUUGUGGACUUUUUCCUCCAUACAUCAUUGCUCUGUCUAUAUCUCUCAAUGCCGCCUUCUUCAAACAAUCUAAGAGGUCCGAAAAUAUAUUUUGGGAUUGUAAUCUUGUGAUACUGUGACCCAAGCACGAACCGUGAAACUCACCAUGAUCAACGGAUGGUGAUAGGCCGUCUUAGCCAGCGUUGUCUUCCCGAUUCCUCCCAUCCCCACGAUUGGGAUGAUCUGGCGACUGGAUGAUCCUCCGGUGAGCGAAUCGGCGAUUUUUAGCAGAUCCUCGUCGAGACCGACCGCGACGCCGCCGGCUGCAGGGCCGAGCUGCUUUGACGAUGAAGUCCGCACAGUGCGGCUAUCAUCAUCACCAAGUGCCGCCGAGUCUUCCGCUGUGAAGUCCGCUGCCUCUCGGGAAAUUGAGUUGAUCUCCUCCAUCGCCUUUUCUAGGUCAUGAUGAAGAUGAUGAGGGUUGUUUGUAGUCGAAUAAUGAUGAUUCCAUAUUUGGUCGUACAUGAAAUGCUCGAUCAUAUCUUCUGCCUCGUUGGCGGAGGCCCUGAUUCUUGCUUCCAAGCUGCUGGCUUGCAUUGGAAACUUGUCCAAAGCUUCUCGCAAGAAAAUAACUUUUUCACGUAGCAGGGUGAUUUGUUGUUCUUCAUUGUGGGAGAUGAGGAAUUGGUCGUGAUUGAGGAUUCGGUGAGUUGUUUGGGCAAGUGAAGACAGAGCAGCGUAGGCCAUGAUUGAAGAAAAUUGGUUUGUCUCACAGGCUUGAGCAAAUCAAACGAGGGAGAUAACAAGUGAUGGUGGCUUAGGGAGAAGGCGAAGAAACGUUGAGGGAGAGGAGGAGAUGCUGAUGCCAGCUCAAAUAUACACCCGCGUUGACGUAGUAUAGUGCAACAAUAAACCUGCUUUCUAAGGUAUAAUUUAAAGUAUCAUUUAUACGUAUCAUUGGAAAACCGAUUUAACCGUAAAGUAUCAUUGAUACGUUGAAAUAGUAUCAUUGAAAAGACGAUUUUCAACGUGAAAUCGAUUUCACUGAUGUUUUUGUGAAAAUUAAAUUAUUUGAUGUUUCUUUAUAAAAAAAAUACAAAUUAUAUUAAUAAAUUAAAAUCGUUGACUUUUUUUUUUUCUUUACUUAAAACNNNNNNNNNNNNNNNNNNNNNNNNNNNNNNNNNNNNNNNNNNNNNNNNNNNNNNNNNNNNNNNNNNNNNNNNNNNNNNNNNNNNNNNNNNNNNNNNNNNNNNNNNNNNNNNNNNNNNNNNNNNNNNNNNNNNNNNNNNNNNNNNNNNNNNNNNNNNNNNNNNNNNNNNNNNNNNNNNNNNNNNNNNNNNNNNNNNNNNNNNNNNNNNNNNNNNNNNNNNNNNNNNNNNNNNNNNNNNNNNNNNNNNNNNNNNNNNNNNNNNNNNNNNNNNNNNNNNNNNNNNNNNNNNNNNNNNNNNNNNNNNNNNNNNNNNNNNNNNNNNNNNNNNNNNNNNNNNNNNNNNNNNNCCACUAGAUAAGAAUAGAUAUAAAAGCGACCGAUUAAUAAAUAAAAAAAAAAAAAAAAACAACAACUCACGUAGAGAAUUUUACUGCGGGUGCUUUCAAAUAGCAUGAAGUAGUAUUCAAGAAAGAUUUCUAGGUCGUUAAGUCGGCAGAGAUGAGGUGGAGCAGGAACAAUGUCAUUUGAUGCAUAUCUCCAUUGUUGAGUCUGUAUCCAGUUUCGAGUUCGGUGUAGUUGGGUCAUAUCUCCAUUGUUGUCUAAGAUGUUCGAUUUCAUCCCUCACCUAUUACCGCGAGAUAGAUUUAGAGAAAGG